UACGUAGGGGGCAAGCGUUGUCCGGAUUUAUUGGGCGUAAAGCGCGCGUAGGCGGCCUCGUAAGUCCGUUGUGAAAGUCAAAGGCUCAACCUUUGAAAGCCGAUGGAUACUGUGAGGCUAGAGUCCGGAAGAGGCGAGUGGAAUUCCUGGUGUAGCGGUGGAAUGCGCAGAUAUCAGGAGGAACACCGAUAGCGAAGGCAGCUCGCUGGGACGGUACUGACGCUAAGGCGCGAAAGCGUGGGGAGCGAACAGG
rnacentral:rRNA from 1 species